rnacentral:rRNA from 1 species
UCAUCGAAUCUUUGAACGCAUAUUGCGCUCUUUGGCAGUCCAGAGAGCAUGCCUGUCCGAGCGUCAAGUGUCCGUAUCUCCAGGCUGCCCCGGGAGGGGAAGGGGCCAGGGUGUUGGGCUGUGCCGUCCUCGGGUUGUCGUUGGGAGGAUGGGGCCUCAAACAGAGUGGCAGUGCCGUAUCCGGUCCUGGAGCAUGAUGGGGCGUUGUCACCGGCUCUGGGGGACUGGAUCCGGUUGCUGGCCGGGCAGUUCCAUUUCAUCGAGUUGACCUCGGAUCAGGCAGGGGUACCCGCUGAACUUAAGCAUAUCAAUAAGCGGAGGAAAAGAAACCAACGGGGAUUGCCCUAGUAACGGCGAGUGAAGUGGCAAGAGCUCAGAUUUGAAAUCUGGCCUCCCGGGAGGGGGGUCCGAGUUGUAAUUUGCAGAGGAUGCUUCGGGCCCGGUCCCUAUCUAAGUGCCCUGGAACGGGUCGCCAGAGAGGGUGAGAGUCCCGUCUGGGAUGGGAGACCGGAUCCCUGUGACGCUCCUUCGACGAGUCGAGUUGUUUGGGAAUGCAGCUCCAAGUGGGUGGUAAAUUCCAUCUAAAGCUAAAUACCGGCCGGAGACCGAUAGCGCACAAGUAGAGUGAUCGAAAGAUGAAAAGCACUUUGAAAAGAGAGUUAAAGAGCAUGUGAAAUUGUUGAAAGGGAAGCGUUUGCGACCAGACUCACCCGGGGGCGGCUCAGCCGGCACGUGUGCCGGCAUGCUGUUCCCCCCCGGAUGGGCUAGCGUCGGUCUGGGUUGCCGUUGAAAGACCCCCGGAAGGUAGCGCCCCGUUGGGGGCGUCUUAUAGCCGGGAGGCGUCAUGCGGUCGGCCGGGACCGAGGACCGCGCGUGGCUCGACGC